rnacentral:tRNA from 1 species
GCUGGAGUAGCUCAGUUGGCUAGAGCACCUGACUGUGGAUCAGGGGGUCGGCGGUUCGAGCCCGCCCUCCAGUA